GAUGUACUCCCUCCGUUCCAAAUUACUCGUCACAGAAAUGGAUGUAUCUAGAACUAAAAUACAUCUAGAUACAUCCGUACUUGCGACAAAUAAUUCGAAACGGAAGGAGUAUUAA
rnacentral:pre_miRNA from 1 species